UGCGGGUGCUCUCGUUCUUCAGCAGGGCCUUGGCUUGCUGCUCACUGAUGAUGGUGGCCUUCACCUGGGGGGGGUUCAUGUGCACGUUCAGCUUCCCCCCCACCAGGAGCCGCACGGUGGCUGCAAACUUAGUCUGUGUCUUCAGCACCUGGGGGGGCUGCUUCUCGAUGAUGAAGGUGCUGGGGGGGCACGGGGAUCAGGGGCAGGCAGGCAGAGCAGCCCCAAUCCGGCCCCCCCACCCUGCCGGAUGCCUCAGCCGAGCCGGGCCCCCACCGCUACCUGGUCACCAGGGCAGAGAUGAUGUCAGUGAUGGUGCCGUUCAGCUCCGACAGCAUCUCCUCCACCGGGCCCGGGAUCGGCAGCUGCUGGCACAAGUGUUCAGCCCGGCGGAUCUGCUGCCGGUUCUGCCAGAUGAUCUCCGCCAGCUUCUCGCACCUGGGGGGGAGCGGGGCUCAGCACCGUGCCAGGCCUCAGGACCCCAUCCCGCCUUGCCAGGCACGGCCGGCGCCAGCACCCACCAGCUCUGCAGCACGUCCAGGGUGCCCUCAGGGGGACCCCCGUUUCCCGCUAGCUGCUGCCGACGCUUCCACUGGAUCAGCUCAUCAUCCAGUAUGGUCGUCUGCUGCUUGCGCAGCAGCUGCAGCGUCUUCUGGUGCUUCUCGGCCAGGUCCUGCAAGGCGGGACGGUGUUACGGGGCACGUGGAUGGUGGCACAGCCAGCAUGGGGCCAGGGCAGCGGCACUCACCACACGGUACUGCUGUAGUGUCUGGGCCUCCCGGUGCAGCCAAGCCUCCAGCGACGCUUUCUUCUGCUGCAGCGUCGUCUCCCGCGACAGGCGCUCCUGGGGACCCAGCUGGGAGAGCUGGGAGAACUGGGCUGCGGGACGGGGCGCAGCGUUAGGACCGGCACUGCCAGCGCGCCGGCCCUGUCAGCCCCCGGUCUCCCACCCACCUUGGAGGCGCAUGUUCUCCUGGUACUGGAUGAUGAAGUACUCCUGCGUCUGCUGCAGCUUCUUGAGCUCGUUCUCAGAGUCCUGCGUGAUGAGCCGCAGCUCCUCGAAGGUCUGGUUGAUCUGCAGGUGCUUCUGGGACAUGGCAUCCACCAGGGAGCCGGCCGGCGAGGGGCUCUGCACGGGGCACAGGGAGCGCUCAGCACGGCAAGGGGACCCUCCCCAUCCCCCUGGGUGCUGGGGGCAGCGGGGACCCGGAGCACCCCCUGCCUCAGGGCUGCUCCCAUCAUCCCGGUACUGGAGCCU
rnacentral:lncRNA from 1 species